rnacentral:rRNA from 1 species
UACAGAGGGGGCAAGCGUUAUUCGGAAUUAUUGGGCGUAAAGGGCGCGUAGGCGGCCUGGCAAGUGACGGGUGAAAUCCCUCGGCUUAACCGAGGAACUGCCUGUCAGACUGCUGGGCUUGAGACCGGGAGAGGUGAGUGGAAUUCCCAGUGUAGCGGUGAAAUGCGUAGAUAUUGGGAGGAACACCAGUGGCGAAGGCGGCUCACUGGACCGGUACUGACGCUGAGGCGCGAAAGCGUGGGGAGCAAACAGG